UGCUUAUGUUCCAAAGGUCAUAUAAGACUUAAAAGAUAUAUAGAAACUAUGCUCUUUGCCAGCACAAGCAAAGUUCUAAUGAACAGGUCCAAGCAAAGCAAAGUUUAGACAGCAUAGCAAAGUUUGAGCUUUUAAUUCUAGGGGCAUAUGCACAAUCUGUAGAUCUUAAUAUUCUCUUACACCCACUUCAUAGUUCAACAAAUAUCUUUUUUAGAGUAGCCACCAAACAGCUCAAGACCUUAGAAAAAUUUCAGGCUUUAAGUUUUACUGACCCUGGGCUCUCUUCUCUCUCUCUCUCUUGCUCUCUCGUAUAAAACCAUAUGAUUACAUUUUGACACAACCUUCUUCCUUUCCAGGAACUAGAAACAGAACAGGUUCUACAGCAUUUAAAGCAUAUAGAGAAGCUGAAAUCUCGACUUGCAUCUAGAAAGAAAGAGAGAACUUCAGUCAUGCCACUAGAAACUGGUGGGAACUGAAAGUCAUUGUAACAAUACACAUACAGAUACACAUACAGAAACAGUUUGUAGCAUCACAGGGAUGGACUUGGGUUUUUCUGUGACGACUAUACACACCCUCUAACUUAUACUUUCUUUAUAAGUGCCAAAGUAGAUAAGAACCCUAAGUUCUUUGUUUUUCCUUAUUACUAUUUUCUUUUUGGAGUAACUGAUUUCUUGCCUACACCUGGUUUUUGAUCUAUAGCUAUCCCACACUUCUUUUGUCUCUUGUAAAUGUUCAAGACAAGGACUUUAAUCAUUGA